rnacentral:rRNA from 1 species
AGAGUUUGAUCCUGGCUCAGGAUGAACGCUAGCGACAGGCUUAACACAUGCAAGUCGAGGGGCAGCGGUGGUGAAGGCUUGCCUUUACCAGCCGGCGACCGGCGCACGGGUGAGUAACACGUAUGCAACCUGCCUGCCACAGCCGGAUAAUCGGGAGAAAUUCCGUCUAAUACGGCAUAAUGCAUCGACGGGACAUCCUGUUGGUGCCAAAGGUUGAUUCCGGUGGCGGAUGGGCAUGCGUCGCAUUAGUUAGUUGGCGGUGUAACGGACCACCAAGACGACGAUGCGUAGGGGUUCUGAGAGGAAGGUCCCCCACACUGGUACUGAGACACGGACCAGACUCCUACGGGAGGCAGCAGUGAGGAAUAUUGGUCAAUGGGCGGGAGCCUGAACCAGCCAAGUCGCGUGAGGGAUGACGGCCCUAUGGGUUGUAAACCUCUUUUGCCGGGGAGCAAAGUGCCGCACGUGUGCGGUUUGGAGAGUACCCGGAGAAAAAGCAUCGGCUAACUCCGUGCCAGCAGCCGCGGUAAUACGGAGGAUGCGAGCGUUAUCCGGAUUUAUUGGGUUUAAAGGGUGCGUAGGCGGACGCUUAAGUCAGCGGUAAAAUUGCGGGGCUCAACCUCGUCGAGCCGUUGAAACUGGGUGCCUUGAGUGGGCGAGAAGUACGCGGAAUGCGUGGUGUAGCGGUGAAAUGCAUAGAUAUCACGCAGAACUCCGAUUGCGAAGGCAGCGUACCGGCGCCCAACUGACGCUGAAGCACGAAGGCGUGGGUAUCGAACAGGAUUAGAUACCCUGGUAGUCCACGCAGUAAACGAUGAAUGCUAGUUGUCCGGGGCGAUUGAGUUCUGGGUGACACAGCGAAAGCGUUAAGCAUUCCACCUGGGGAGUACGCCGGCAACGGUGAAACUCAAAGGAAUUGACGGGGGCCCGCACAAGCGGAGGAACAUGUGGUUUAAUUCGAUGAUACGCGAGGAACCUUACCCGGGCUCAAACGCAGGAGGGAUGUUUUUGAAAGGAGGCAGCCAGCAAUGGUCUCCUGCGAGGUGCUGCAUGGUUGUCGUCAGCUCGUGCCGUGAGGUGUCGGCUUAAGUGCCAUAACGAGCGCAACCCCUACCUACAGUUGCCAUCGCGUGAUGGCGGGCACUCUGUGGGGACUGCCUGCGCAAGCAGUGAGGAAGGCGGGGAUGACGUCAAAUCAGCACGGCCCUUACGUCCGGGGCGACACACGUGUUACAAUGGCAGGUACAGCGGGAAGCCACCCGGCGACGGGGCGCGGAACCCGAAAACCUGUCUCAGUUCGGAUUGGAGUCUGCAACCCGACUCCAUGAAGCUGGAUUCGCUAGUAAUCGCGCAUCAGCCACGGCGCGGUGAAUACGUUCCCGGGCCUUGCACACACAGCCCGUCA